rnacentral:tRNA from 2 species
UCCUCUGUGGUGUAGGCGGUUAGCAUACGAGGUUCUCACCCUCGCGACCCGGGUUCGAGUCCCGGCAGGGGAA